GACGAACGCUGGCGGCGUGCUUAACACAUGCAAGUCGAACGGAAAGGCCCUGCUUUUGUGGGGUGCUCGAGUGGCGAACGGGUGAGUAACACGUGAGUAACCUGCCCUUGACUUUGGGAUAACUUCAGGAAACUGGGGCUAAUACCGGAUAGGAGCUCCUGCUGCAUGGUGGGGGUUGGAAAGUUUCGGCGGCUGGGGAUGGACUCGCGGCUUAUCAGCUUGUUGGUGGGGUAGUGGCUUACCAAGGCUUUGACGGGUAGCCGGCCUGAGAGGGUGACCGGCCACAUUGGGACUGAGAUACGGCCCCGACUCCUACGGGAGGCAGCAGUGGGGAAUAUUGCACAAUGGGCGGAAGCCUGAUGCAGCACCGCCGCGUGCGGGAUGACGGCCUUCGGGUUGUAAACCGCUUUCGCCUGUGACGAAGCGUGAGUGACGGUAAUGGGUACAGAAGCACCGGCUAACUACGUG
rnacentral:rRNA from 1 species